rnacentral:misc_RNA from 1 species
UGGUGUUUGGUUUGUUACGUGUGGUUGGCUGCGGCGUUUGCAACAACUUCCAUGCUUUCAGACCUCUUCAGUUGUGCGGCAAGGCUUGUAUCGCCCUGAGCGUACUGUGGGUUUUCUGUGUUGGCUACUUAAUCAACGGUAUCGGUUGGAUUGAUUAAAGUUUGAUUUCGUCUUCCGUCGCAUUCGCGGCGUGAGGUGAACCUCGAUGCGGUCUCUUUGAUCCACCUCGUUGAAGCACAUGCCUUGACGUUGUGGCACAUUGAGCAUUGCUUGGUCUCUUGUAUACGGAACAUAUAGUGGGCAUGGAUCUAACGAUCCUUGUUUGCCCUCAUAUUAGCGUAACGCUUCUCUAACACGACUUGCGCCAUGUUUUAGCUCGUACGGACGUGGCGCUAUGUCGA